GAAUAUUGGACAAUGGGCGAAAGCCUGAUCCAGCAAUGCCGCGUGAGUGAUGAAGGCCUUAGGGUUGUAAAGCUCUUUUACCCGGGAUGAUAAUGACAGUACCGGGAGAAUAAGCCCCGGCUAACUCCGUGCCAGCAGCCGCGGUAAGACAGAGGGGGCAAGCGUUGCUCGGAAUCACUGGGCGUAAAGGGCGCGUAGGCGGGAUGGCAAGUCAGUCGUGAAAUCUCUCGGCUCAACCGAGAAACGUCGGCUGAUACUGCCGUUCUUGAGGGAUGCAGAGGAGACUGGAAUUCCCGGUGUAGCGGUGAAAUGUGUAGAGAUCGGGAGGAACACCGGUGGCGAAGGCGGGUCUCUGGGCAUUUCCUGACGCUGAGGCGCGAAAGCGUGGGGAGCAAACGGG
rnacentral:rRNA from 1 species